GUGCUUGCUUCAGCAGCACAUAUACUAAAAUUGGAAUGAUACAGAGAAGAUUAGCAUGCCCCCUGUACAAGGAUGACAUGCAAAUUCAUAAAGGAUUCCAUAUUAAA
rnacentral:snRNA from 1 species